rnacentral:rRNA from 1 species
AACGAACGCUGGCGGCGUGGAUAAGACAUGCAGGUCGAACGGAAAGCGAAAUUUAUUUUACUUUUAGUGGCGCACGGGUGAGUAACACGUGAGCAACCUGCCCCUUAGACAGGGAUAGCCCCGGGAAACUGGGAUUAAUACCUGAUAGACUCGCAAGAGUAAAGCAGCAAUGCGCUUAGGGAAGGGCUCGCGGCCUAUUAGUUAGUUGGUGAGGUAACGGCUCACCAAGGCGAUGACGGGUAGCCGGUCUGAGAGGAUGUCCGGCCACACUGGAACUGAGACACGGUCCAGACACCUACGGGUGGCAGCAGUCGAGAAUCAUUCACAAUGGGGGAAACCCUGAUGGUGCGACGCCGCGUGAGGGAAGAAGGUCUUCGGAUUGUAAACCUCUGUCAUGUGGGAGCAAGACGAAAGUUUGAUAGUACCACAAGAGGAAGAGACGGCUAACUCUGUGCCAGCAGCCGCGGUAAUAC